rnacentral:rRNA from 1 species
GAUGAACGCUGGCGGCGUGCCUAAUACAUGCAAGUCGAGCGAACGGACGAGAAGCUUGCUUCUCUGAUGUUAGCGGCGGACGGGUGAGUAACACGUGGAUAACCUACCUAUAAGACUGGGAUAACUUCGGGAAACCGGAGCUAAUACCGGAUAAUAUUUUGAACCGCAUGGUUCAAAAGUGAAAGACGGUCUUGCUGUCACUUAUAGAUGGAUCCGCGCUGCAUUAGCUAGUUGGUAAGGUAACGGCUUACCAAGGCAACGAUGCAUAGCCGACCUGAGAGAGUGAUCGGCCACACUGGAACUGGAACACCGUCCAGACGCCUACGGUAGGCAGCAGUAGGGAAUCUUCCGCAAUGGGCGAAAGCCUGACGGAGCAACGCCGCGUGAGUGAUGAAGGUCUUCGGAUCGUAAAACUCUGUUAUUAGGGAAGAACAUAUGUGUAAGUAACUGUGCACAUCUUGACGGUACCUAAUCAGAAAGCCACGGCUAACUACGUG